rnacentral:rRNA from 1 species
GACGAACGCUGGCGGCGUGCUUAACACAUGCAAGUCGAACGGUGAACGAGGGAGCUUGCUCCCUCCGGAUCAGUGGCGAACGGGUGAGUAACACGUGAGCAAUCUGCUCCGAACUCUGGGAUAAGCGUUGGAAACGACGUCUAAUACCGGAUACGACGCGGGAGGGCAUCCUCUCCGCGUGGAAAGAACUUCGGUUCGGGAUGGGCUCGCGGCCUAUCCGCUUGUUGGUGGGGUAACGGCUCACCAAGGCGUCGACGGGUAGCCGGCCUGAGGGGGUGACCGGCCACACUGGGACUGAGACACGGCCCAGACUCCUACGGGAGGCAGCAGUGGGGAAUAUUGCACAAUGGGCGCAAGCCUGAUGCAGCAACGCCGCGUGAGGGACGACGGCCUUCGGGUUGUAAACCUCUUUUAGCAGGGAAGAAGCGAAAGUGACGGUACCUGCAGAAAAAGCACCGGCUAACUACGUG